rnacentral:rRNA from 1 species
GACGAACGCUGGCGGCGUGCCUAAUACAUGCAAGUAGAACGCACAGUUUAUACCGUAGCUUGCUACACCAUAAACUGUGAGUUGCGAACGGGUGAGUAACGCGUAGGUAACCUGCCUGGUAGCGGGGGAUAACUAUUGGAAACGAUAGCUAAUACCGCAUAAUAUUGAUUAUUGCAUGAUAAUUGAUUGAAAGAUGCUAUUGCAUCACUACCAGAUGGACCUGCGUUGUAUUAGCUAGUAGGUGAGGUAACGGCUCACCUAGGCGACGAGACAUAGCCGACCUGAGAGGGGGAGCGGCCACACUGGGACGGAGACACGGCCCAGAAUACUACGGGAGGCAGCAGGAGGGAAUCUUCGGCAAUGGACGAAAGUCUGAACGAGCAACGCCGCGUGAGUGAAGAAGGUUGUCGGAUCGUAAAGCUCUGUUGUAAGAGAAGAACGGGUGUGAGAGUGGAAAGUUCACACUGUGACGGUAUCUUAACAGAAAGGGACGGCUAACUACGUG